rnacentral:rRNA from 1 species
GAUGAACGCUAGCGGCAGGCCUAAUACAUGCAAGUCGAACGGUGUCUUCGGACAUAGUGGCGCACGGGUGCGUAACACGUAUGCAACCUACCUUACAUUGGGGGAUAGCCUUUCGAAAGGGAGAUUAAUACCGCAUAAGACAGUAGCUGGGCAUCCAGUAGCUGUUAAAGAUUUAUCGAUGUAAGCUGGGCAUGCGUCCAAUUAGUUAGUUGGUGAGGUAAUGGCUCACCAAGACGAUGAUUGGUAGGGGAACUGAGAGGUCAAUCCCCCACACUGGCACUGAGAUACGGGCCAGACUCCUACGGGAGGCAGCAGUAGGGAAUAUUGGGCAAUGGACGCAAGUCUGACCCAGCCAUGCCGCGUGCAGGAAGAAGGCGUUCUGCGUUGUAAACUGCUUUUAUAUAGGAAGAAACGACCCUUGCGAGGGGCAUUGACGGUAUUAUAUGAAUAAGCACCGGCUAACUCCGUGCCAGCCGCCGCAGUAAAAC